UCUUCAACCAAAUAACUAUCCUGAUAUGGGGGGGUGGAACUGAAAACCUGUACCUUCAGAAUCUAUGUAAAUCCGCAGCCGCACAAUGGUCCAGAUGAAGCGUUUGAUGUGUUGCUACUGCAUGUUGUUGGCGUCUUCUAGUGGUGUACUACAAGAAUGCACGCGACGCGAUGUUUCCCACUAUGCUUUGCGGGCGGAAGAAGCCCAGAAGAAUAGUUUUAUUUACGCAUGCGCAUCCGUCUUCCUUCCUUUUCGACAUUCUACUCGAACGAGACAAGAUGGGACAUCAGAGCCUCUACUGGAGUCACCCAAGAAAAUUCGGUCAGGGAUCCCGAUCCUGCCGGGUAUGCUCGAACAGACACGGUCUGAUCCGUAAAUACGG